AAACUGUUUGAUCCUGCCAGUAGUAAUAUGCUUGUCUCAGAGAUUAAGCCAUGCUUGUCCAAGUACAUACCUUAAAACGGUAAAACCGCGAACGGUUAUGGUUCCUUAGAUCAUAUAUACUAUUAUUUUUAUUUUUUUUUAAUUUUUUAUUUACAG
rnacentral:ncRNA from 1 species